rnacentral:rRNA from 1 species
AGCUCCAAUAGCGUAUAUUAAAUUUGCUGCAGUUAAAGCGUUCGUAGUUUGUGUUUCACAAUCCGAUAGGCAUGUCAUCAAUGUUUCAUUGAUGACGCCGGAAUUUGGAUUGCAACGUAGUUUAAACUGCGUUGAAUUACUUUGAGUAAAUGGACUUGCUCCAAGCAGGCUUUUGCUUGUACCGCUCAGCGUGGAAUAAUGGGAUACAGCUCUUGAUUGAUUUGUUGGUGAAUCGAUUGAGAUGCGAUAAACGACAAGGACAUCCGGGGGCAUUUGUACUCGCUGGAGAGAGGUGAAAUUCUAAGACCCGGCGAAGACAAACUGACGCGAAAGCAUUUGCCCAGAGUGUGCCUG